UGGAGCAUAACUCAGCGGUCAGAGUGCUUCCCUGAUAAGGAAGAAGUCGGUUGUUCAAAUCAACCUGUUCCAA
rnacentral:tRNA from 1 species